rnacentral:tRNA from 1 species
AGAUAAAUAGGGUAUUUACCCCUUUAUUUUGCAAAAAUAAUGCUAAGAAAAAUUUUCUUUUUAUCUU